rnacentral:rRNA from 1 species
AUUGAACGCUGGCGGCAUGCUUUACACAUGCAAGUCGAACGGCAGCGGGGGCUUCGGCCUGCCGGCGAGUGGCGAACGGGUGAGUAAUGCAUCGGAACGUGCCCACGUCGUGGGGGAUAACUACGCGAAAGCGUGGCUAAUACCGCAUACGCCCUGAGGGGGAAAGCGGGGGAUCUUUCGGGACCUCGCGCGAUUGGAGCGGCCGAUGUCGGAUUAGCUAGUUGGUGGGGUAAAGGCUCACCAAGGCGACGAUCCGUAGCUGGUCUGAGAGGAUGAUCAGCCACACUGGGACUGAGACACGGCCCAGACUCCUACGGGAGGCAGCAGUGGGGAAUUUUGGACAAUGGGCGCAAGCCUGAUCCAGCCAUGCCGCGUGAGUGAAGAAGGCCUUCGGGUUGUAAAGCUCUUUCGGCCGGGAAGAAAUCGCAUUCUCUAAUAUAGGAUGUGGAUGACGGUACCGGACUAAGAAGCACCGGCUAACUACGUGCCAGCAGCCGCGGUAACAC